CUAAUACCAUUUCAAAAGACAACCUAAUAGACUAUGCAUACCUUCUCAUACCAUCCAGCAAUUCUUGGUUUUUAGGAUCAUGUUUUAAUCCCUCCUGGUA